rnacentral:rRNA from 1 species
GAUGAACGCUGGCGGCGUGCCUAAUACAUGCAAGUCGAGCGAACGGACGAGAAGCUUGCUUCUCUGAUGUUAGCGGCGGACGGGUGAGUAACACGUGGAUAACCUACCUAUAAGACUGGGAUAACUUCGGGAAACCGGAGCUAAUACCGGAUGAUAUUUUGAACCGCAUGGUUCAAUAGUGAAAGACGGUCUUGCUGUCACUUAUAGAUGGAUCCGCGCUGCAUUAGCUAGUUGGUAAGGUAACGGCUUACCAAGGCAACGAGGCAUAGCCGACCUGAGAGGGGGAUCGGCCACACUGGAGCUGAGACACGGUCCAUAGUCCUACGGGAGGCAGCAGUAGGGAAUCUUCCGCAAUGGGCGGAAGCCUGACGGAGCAACGGCGCGUGAGUGAUAGCGGUCUUCGGAUCGUAAAACUCUGUUAUUAGGGAAGAACCGAUGUGUCAGUAACUGUGCACAUCGUGACGGUAACUAAUCAGAAAGCCACGGCUAACUACGUG